UUAUUCUUUUUUAUCCUGUGCAGCCUAGUGACUACAUCAAUGCUUUAUUGGUUCCUAGAGAUGGUCAUAUCACAAUAGAUGCCGAAAACUUGGCUGCACAAGAAAUCUUUGAAGUGGUCACUGUUGACUCAAUUCAAGAGCCCAAAGUUGGAACAGUAUUCAAUCCCAGGUCCCUAAUUAAAGCCUUAACUGAUUUGAUACACAAGCACAGUGACUUCCGUCAAGCAUAUUCUGAAGCCGUUAACAAUAAUCACACUCACUGCGACCAAUGAGUUGUGGUUCGGGUAAAGUAUCCAUCUGUGCGUCAUGUUCCAUCACACCUUCUUAUUGCAUCUGGGAUCAUCAAAUGGGAAUAUGUAUGUCUCUGCCUAGGACUUGUCGACAGUCUGAAUAGUGAACUCUUCUGGCUCAUUUAUAUAAAAUAUCUGCCUUUUCUGUGCCUAUCCUUGAUAACAUACUACAUGUCAUGGACAUCUGAACCAGUAGUUUUGAGUAUUGAUUUUUUGUAGAAAAGCCAAAUAUGUUGCUUCAGGCAUCUGGAAUUUAUGGUUGAUAGCUGAUGAAGAAACAGGUUUUCACCCCUACCAACAUUCAAGCAGAAUGGAAAAACUGCUGGAUUUCCUGCUUCCCACACCAAAAGAAGUGCUAGGCUUCACUUAACUUGCAUGCUUUGACAACCUAAACCAAGUGAGGUGGACAUGAGGAUGAUGGAUGAUGUUCUACUUAUCAUGGUAAAUAAUUUUUCAUAUGUAAAUCUGGUUAUUAUAUAAAAU